rnacentral:rRNA from 1 species
GACGAACGCUGGCGGCGUGCUUAACACAUGCAAGUCGAACGGAAAGGCCCUGCUUUUGUGGGGUGCUCGAGUGGCGAACGGGUGAGUAACACGCGAGUAUCCUGCCCUUGACUUUGGGAUAACUUCAGGGAACUGGGGCUAAUACCGGGUAGGAGCUCCUGCUGCAUGGUGUGGGAUGGAAAGUUUCGGCGGUUGGGGAUGGACUCGCGGCUUAUCAGCUUGUUGGUGGGGUAGUGGCUUACCAAGGCUUCGACGGGUAGCCGGCCUGAGAGGGUGACCGGCCACAUUGGGACUAAGAUACGGCCCAGACUCGUACGGGAGGCAGCAGUGGGGAGUAUUGCACAAUGGGCGGAAGCCUGAUGCAGCAACGCCGCGUGCGGGAUGACGGCCUUCGGGUUGUAAACCGCUUUCGCCUGUGACGAAGCGGGAGUGACGGUAAUGGGUAAAGAAGCACCGGCUAACUACGUG